rnacentral:rRNA from 1 species
GACGAACGCUGGCGGCGUGCCUAAUACAUGCAAGUCGAGCGCUGAAGGCUGGUCUUUGUACCAACUGGUUGAGCAGCGAACGGGUGAGUAACUCGUGGUGAAUCUGCCUUAGAGCGGGGGACAAUAUUUGGAAACGAAUGCUAAUACCGCAUAAAAACUUUAAUCACAAUUUUCAAGCUUGAAAGAUGCUAUUGCAUCACUUAAAGAUGAUCCCGCGUUGUAUUAGCUAGUUGGUGUGGUAAAGGCUUACCAAGGGGAUGAUACAUAGCCGACCUCAGAGGGGGAUCGGCCAAGUUGGUACGGGAGCACGACCCAAACCCCUGCGAGAGGCAGCAGUAGGGGAUCUUCGGGGGUGGACGAAAGGCUGAACAUGCAACGCCGCGUGAGUGAAGAAGCUUGUCGGGUCGUAAGACUCAGUUAGUAGAGAAGAUCGUUGAGGAGAGUGGAACGCUCAUCAAGUGACAGUAACUACCCAGAAAGCUACGGCUAACUACGUG